CUAUCUUCAUCAGGGUUAGUAUAAAGAUCGUUGUUUUUAAACUUUUUAUGAAAAUAUGUAAAUCCCUCCAUUACGCACUACAAAUCUUGAAAGACAACG